GAAAGGCGGAGAGACAAUCUCGAAAGAUGAAAGCUUUGAGGUCUUUGGGUAAUUGAGAGUAACCAAGAUCUAUAAUGGAGCUCAGUUCAUUGCAAGCAAAUGGGUAGAGAUGAUUAUUCGAGAGGGCUUCUGCUACCUUUAGAUUUUGGUAUCUCUUCGUAUAUUUUUCUUGAAUCAUCGUCUGGGGUUUGCUUUGAUCAUCUAUCCCAGGUUUCAUGUUUUGCGCAAUUAUUGUUCUCUUUUCUGCAGGCCUGGGAAUUUAAUCGAAGCCCGCCGGGCCCGCCCCAUUUGACCCGCCACGGGGGUGGGGAUCGAGCGUUUUGAAAAAAUCAAGUCGCGGGUGCGAG
rnacentral:lncRNA from 1 species